rnacentral:rRNA from 1 species
AUACGUAGGGGGCGAGCGUUGUCCGGAAUGAUUGGGCGUAAAGGGCGCGUAGGCGGCCUGUUAAGUCUGGAGUGAAAGUCCUGUUUUCAAGAUGGGAAUUGCUUUGGAUACUGAUGGGCUUGAGUGCAGGAGAGGUUAUCGGAAUUCCCGGUGUAGCGGUGAAAUGCGUAGAGAUCGGGAGGAACACCAGUGGCGAAGGCGGGUAACUGGACUGCAACUGACGCUGAGGCGCGAAAGUGUGGGGAGCAAACAGGAUUAGAUACCCUGGUAGUCCACACUGUAAACGAUGGAUGCUAGGUGUAAGAGGUAUCGACCCCUUUUGUGCCGGAGUUAACACAAUAAGCAUCCCGCCUGGGGAGUACGGCCGCAAGGUUGAAACUCAAAGGAAUUGACGGGG